rnacentral:rRNA from 1 species
GAUGAACGCUGGCGGUGUGCUUAACACAUGCAAGUCGAACGGAAAGGCUCCUGCUUGCAGGGGUACUCGAGUGGCGAACGGGUGAGUAACACGUGGGUGAUCUGCCCUGCACUUCGGGAUAAGCCUGGGAAACUGGGUCUAAUACCGGAUAGGACCACAUUUUGGAUGGUGUGGUGGAAAGUUUUUCGGUGUGGGAUGAGCUCGCGGCCUAUCAGCUUGUUGGUGGGGUAAUGGCCUACCAAGGCGUCGACGGGUAGCCGGCCUGAGAGGGUGUACGGCCACAUUGGGACUGAGAUACGGCCCAGACUCCUACGGGAGGCAGCAGUGGGGAAUAUUGCACAAUGGGCGCAAGCCUGAUGCAGCGACGCCGCGUGGGGGAUGACGGCCUUCGGGUUGUAAACUCCUUUCGCUAGGGACGAAGCGCAAGUGACGGUACCUGGAGAAGAAGCACCGGCUAACUACGUG